rnacentral:rRNA from 1 species
GACGAACGCUGGCGGCGUGCUUAACACAUGCAAGUCGGACGGGAUCCGGGCUUUCGGGUUUGGUGAGAGUGGCGAACGGGUGAGUAACACGUGAGUAACCUGCCCCCUUCUUUGGGAUAACGUCGGGAAAUCGGCGCUAAUACUGGAUAUUCUUGCUGCAUCGCAUGGUGUGGUUUGGAAAGGGUUUCUGGUGGGGGAUGGGCUCGCGGCCUAUCAGCUUGUUGGUGGGGUGAUGGCCUACCAAGGCUUUGACGGGUAGCCGGCCUGAGAGGGUGUCCGGCCACACUGGGACUGAGACACGGCCCAGACUCCUACGGGAGGCAGCAGUGGGGAAUAUUGCACAAUGGGCGCAAGCCUGAUGCAGCGACGCCGCGUGAGGGAUGACGGCCUUCGGGUUGUAAACCUCUUUCAGUAUGGAACAAGGAUCCUUCUUUUGGGGGGCUUGAGGGUACGUGCAGAAGAAGCGCCGGCUAACUACGUG